AUUCCUCUUUUUAGGCAACUUUAGCAUGGGUGUCCAAACUUAUUCACAUCACUGUAAAUGUAUCUUGAUUUAAGAUGUUUAGAUAUUUCCACUGGGAAAACAACACAAAAAUGUGCACAUUUUUGUGUGUUGACCAUUGUGGCGUCCUGUAAAAACAGCAAAAAACAGCAGCAGCUUCAUUGCUUCAAUGAUUAACUAGUUAUUUGACUGCCUGUUUGAUUUCAUUUCAUUUGAUUACAACCAUUGUCAUCUGGAGUGUUUUCUUUGUUCUUCAAUAUUUUGCAAAAGAAUAUAAACAUGAAUUAGUGUACCGUAUUUUCCAUAAUUUGAUGCCAUGGUAGUAAAUAACAGAGCAGUAAUUCUGACACGAUGUGAACGCAGCACGUCAGCCGUGAGCCUGAUAUCAUCAUUUGAUAGUUGUUUUCAGCUGAAGAUUUACAUUCAAAGUCCUUCAUUCUGUAUUUUAAGGACUAAAAGUGAAUGGUGACCUUUGCGUCGACUCUCUUUCACUGAGGCUUGAGAGUUUUGGCUUGACAGAAUUCAGAAGCGAUCAAACGGCUCGUCAGCCUGACCUUUUUAAAACCAUUACCGAACGCUUCCUCUCGCCGAAAAACAGAUGGCGAAUGAAAAAGCUCUCUGCGUGACGGUUGCUGCGAGAUGGAUUUGGUGUCGUUAGCGAAUGGGUGAUUUUUGAACGAGUUCUGGGCCCUGGAGUCACAUCCGCCUCCAAUCAUUCAUCUCGCGAUGUAAUUCGUCAUUUGAUCAAAUCUGAAAUGGUUUGAUCCGACCCAAUAUGUCAAGCUUAAUCAGAUUUAUAAGCACAUGUGAGGUUCAUGCGGCUUGUGGAAACAGAAUCAUGGUUAGUUUUCCGCUUCUGAUUUGCAUAUGAAAUUUGAAAUUGAAUUGUUUUUUGGGCAAUCUCUCCACUCGCACAGCACCAAUUUCAAUCCCACAAUCCCCUGCUCGACUCCAAUAGAGAAUGAACUGGAGACGCCCGCUCUUAAUGGAUGAUCCACGAGGCUCAAACACUGCAGAAGAGUUUAGUGCUGAUAUCAGAUCACAGCAGCUUAGUUCUGUUCCUCUGACUUUACACACACUCGUUUCUCAUCUCUCCGGCACGUCUUUUCUCACUCAUGUCAGCUGCGUUUUGGAGCGCGAGUUCUGGAAGUUCUCCGCAGAAGGAGAUGUCUCGCUCAGUGAUCAUAGACAGCGCUGCAGAUGGAUUAUAUGAAGCGUUGUUGCCCCCAGAGGGGAAGUUUCUGGGUGCCCCUGAGGGAUUAUGGGUAACAGAGGAACGAACUGAUGGGCUUUUGGCUUCCUAACUUCUUUAUUUUGCUGUUUUCCUUUUUCAUUCCCUACGGAAAUGAUUAUUUAUCUCAGAGUAAAAGACACAUUCACUGGACACACAUGAUUUCAGAGGAAUAUAUAAUCAGACAAAAAGCAUUUACUCACCCUUAUGUUGUUCCAAACCUGUAUGAUUUGUGUUUUGCCUUCUGUGAAAAGCAAAAGGAGGUUUUCAAAGAAUGUUUUUUUUUCCCCAUUACAGUUAAAACGAAAAAAAUAACGUAAAAGCAUCUUAAAAAUAAAGGUUCUUUAUUGGCGUCGAGGGAACCUUUCCGUUUAGUACAGCAGAUUAGUAAAAAAAAAUCAUUCACUUUGGUAUAGAAGCUUGAAAUUUGGUACAGAUACUCUCUCUUGGAAAAAGACGUUGGCCAAUCAAAUGUAUUUUUUAAGAUGGCCGCCAUUGCUAUUAAAUGCUUAUUAUAUCAAUUAUUCAAACCGUGAUCCAAGCAUAAUAUUUGAUACAAAACUCUCUAAAGAACAUGUUAUUGGAAAAAGAUGCUUGUCCCUCAAAAAUUCAAGAUGGUCGCCAUUUUUAAAGAUGACCACCGUUCUUGUUGAAAAUUAAUUCUUUCAAUUGUUCAAAUAGUGAUGCAAACUUAAAAUUAGGCAGACGUAUUCUUCAAGGAACACUCUUUGGAAAAAGGUAUGUACCACUCAAAUCAAAAUGGUCACCAUCUUGAAUUUUUGAGUGGCACACACCUUUUUACAUAAUACUGUUCAUUGAAGAAUAUUUGUACCAAAUUUCAUGAUAGCAUCACCAUUUGAAAAAAAAAAAACAUUUAAGGAUUCAAAAAAAAUGGUGGCCAUCUUGAAAAAAAAUGGUUACCAUCUUAAACUUUUUAAGGGGACAAGCACCAUUUUCACCAUUUGAGAAAAGAGAGUAUUUUCACACAGUAGUUUGAACGACUGACAUAAUCAGCAUUUGACAGAAAUAGCGGCCAUCUUGAAAAAAGAUGCCACCAUGUUGAAUUUUUGGGUGGUCAACGCCUUUUUCACAAAAAGUGACCCUUAGAGAGUAUCUGUGCCAAAUUUUAUGCUUCUAUACCAAUUUGAACGAUUCUCUUGAAAUAUGCCAUUAAUCUGCUGCACUAGUUACACAAAAGGCUUUGGUUCUAGAGGAUGUUCUUUACACUAACACAGUGUCUACAUCAGACACAAGCUGUGCGACACGACAAGAACAAACAGAGCCCAUUAUAAUCAGUGAUGCUGUCUACACUGGAUGCGGUGCGAAACGACACGACAGAUUCCCGAUUCCCUGUUGUGUUUAUGACAUGAUUCAAGCACUCGUACUACUGACACGGGGAACAAAUGAAUUUGCAACGGUCGCUUUGUCGCAUCCUGUGUAGGGUAGACAACCUCCAGCUGUCCGGUGUAGACGAUGCAAGGAAAAAUGGGUAUUUUAAGAACUCUAAGAGCAUUUCAGUGGUGUUGCUGUAAAAACCCUCUUUAGGAACUUUUAUUUUGAAGUAACAGCAGUCCAUGUGACUAAUCCACUAGAUUUAAUGUCCUAAUAAGAUGCUUUCGACCUACAUUUAAGAAAUGCAUCUUAUUAGACUUUAUUAAAUAUAUGAAAACAUUAAAUAUGACACCAAACAGAAAGUCACGCACGUGUGGAACAACAUGACGGUUUGUCCGUUGAAUCCCCUGAAAUAGGGCUGCAUGAAAUCAAAUUGCUAUAUAAAAACUGAUUAAAAAAAAAAGCUCCAGGUUUGCUGUGCUUGUUUGUAGGGCUGCACAAUUUGGCCAAAAUGUUGUCAUUUUAUAUGGACGUCUAUAAAAUAAUAUUAAUAAUAACAAUUUUUUGUUUGUUUUUUAUUAAAAGUUUAGAGCUCUUAAAAGCCUGGUUUAUAACCCCUUCUCACUGCAAUUUUGAGAAGAUGCUUAGCAUGUUUUCUAAUAAAAGCAUGUUAAAAGUGACCCAAAGUCAUAUGUAUUUAAUUAAAUCACAGCCUUUGUGAUUUAAUACUUGUACUAAGCCAUAUCGCGAUUUCGGUUUUAUUUCAAUCAAUCGUGCAGCCCUAUCCUGCAAUAUGAGCAUCAGGCUACAGGAAACCCAUCCUUCUUUCAUUCUGAAUCCCUCUCUCUCUCUCUGUCUAUCAGUCAUAUUCUCAUGAUGAGCUGAGGGCGUCUCUCACACACACACACACACACACACACCGUAUCUGAUCUUUGCAGAACUGCAUCAUGGACUUCUGAUGAUAACAUUGACCUUUGACCUUUGAGGUGACCUCUCCCCUCCUCUAGUGCUGCUGUGUGUCUGAUGCCUGGCCUGCAACUGUAAACUUCCCCAAUCCUCUCCCGUCCCGCCUCUGCCUGCUUCGCUCCUGUACAAAGGUGCAAUAAAAGCUUCGUCAUGAUGUUUUCACUUAUUUUACCGCACACACACACACAGGUGACCCGAGCGCUCACACCUGCAGCCACAGAUGAAACAGUCGAUGGCCAUAUUUGCAAGAGUUUCCUUUGUUAAUUCUCUAUAUUUUUUACUCUGUAAAGACAAUAAUUAAUGUGUAAAAAAAGAAGAAAAACGCUGAAUGUUCAACUGGAGAUGUAAUUAAUGACGUCAUGUGGCUUCGUCCAUUUGCCUUGCCUGAGUCUGGAUGUGUAAAAACCCUCCUGUGGUCCUGAGUUCAGUGUACAGACCCUCUUCUCGCUAUUUGUCUGUCUCUCUAUCCGUCUGUCUCUCUUUCCACUCAAGCAGCGCCGGUGUUCAAACUGGCCCAAUAUGGGAUGGUUCCAUGAAAACCUUUAACAUUCAUUCCAGACUGCAACAUAGUGAACCACAUGUACCGGAUGUGGGCCGGAUCUGGGCCGUCACUGUGUUGCUGUCUGGGAUGAGGUUCUUUACUGUGGAAAAGGGUUAUUUUUAGGUUGAAGAACUGUUCUUUGGGGAACCAAAAUGUUCUCUUCUAUUGCAACGCUUUCGGAAACUUUAUUUUAAAGAGAGAGUAUUUAUCAAAAUUGUUCUCAAAAAUCAUUGAACCACUUCAGAGUUCGUGAAUUUACUGCCCUAGUGGACAUUGUUAAAGGAGCUGUAUGCAAGAAAUUUAUUUCAAAUUAAUUAUAAAUUUUCCCUGAUAUGUCACUAGACAUUAAGAAAUCCUGUUCAUUUCACUGACAACAGCAGUCCGGCCAGGAUAUUGUCAUUUAAAAAGUGAAGUCGCAGCCCUCGACUGAUGUUGAUGUUGUCAUGUUGUGUUUUGUUCUGAUGCGUCACCCUCCACCGAUCUACCAAUCACAGAGUCAGAAAUGUUGCGUCAUUCGGGUUGCCAGCUCUUCUCUCGUUACCACAGCUACAAACGUGUCGGAAUCAGAUAAAAAAAUUCUAACGUUGCGAAACCCUCAAAAACUCGAUAUGAAUCCGAAAUACUUUGUUACAAAGUCCGAAAUUAAUAAUUAACAGAAAAAAACUCACUGUGUUGGACUCGUCACUUGCCAUUGGAAGCUUUUUGUAGAAGCCUAAGUUCCUGGUGGAUCCUACAGCAUAUCUGGCAACCUCGAGUCACGGGAGAAGGCGGGGAAACACCCUAAUUUGAAAGUGACUGCAGUACCAGUUUUGGCCACAAUGGUGUCGUUAGCGAAUCUGUGUUUUUUGAACGAGUUCUGGGUCCUGGACUCCAAUCAUUCAUCUCGUUCUGCAUUCGUCAUUUGAUCAAAUCUGAAAUAGUUUGAUCCGACCCAAUAUGUCAAGCUUAAACAGUUUUAUAAGCACACGUGAGUUUCAUACGCCUGGUGGAAACGGAAUCGUGGUUAAUCAUGGCAUUUAAAAAGUGAAAUCGCAGCCCUCGACUGAUGUUGAUGUUAUCAUGUUGUGUUUUGUAAUGAAGCAUCACCCUCCACCGAUCUACCAAUCACAGAGUGUUGCGGCAUUCGGGUUGCCAGCCCUUCUCUAGUUACCACAGCUGCAGAUACAAACGUGUCGGAAUCAAAUAAAAAAAAAUUCUAUCGUUGCAAAACCCCCAAAAAACUCAAUAUGAAUCUGAAAUACUUUGUUACAAAGUCCGAAAUUAAUAACUCGCUGUGUAGGACUCGUCACUUGCCGUUGGAAGAUUCUUGUAAAAGCCUACAUUCCUGCUGGAACCUGCAACAUAUCUGGCAACCUCGAGUCAACCUAAUUUGAAAGUGAUUGCAGUACCAGUUUUGGCCACAAUCUUGCAUACAGCUCCUGUGAUCUCAAAAUAUCAGCGGAUCACUCAUUAGUUAAGCACUAGCUCUGGAUCCGAACUAAACGUGACCCCUGCUGGUUUGGAUUCAGUAACAUCAGAUGUUUAGCCGAGUCUCCAGCUGAACGCUGGCACUGUUUCAGUGGUUUCUCUCUGUUUUCGUGUUCUCCCGUCAUUCCCCCUCCUGAUCGAGAGUCCCAAGUGGAAUGUUCUUAAUUUUCUGGGUUUGCUCCGUUUGGUUUGGUUUUUCGCUCUUUUUAUUUUAUUUUUUAUUUUUAACUGUAUAAUGGUUCCUUGAGAAAAUGUUUGUCUGAAUAAAACUGGAGUUUGUCCUCGUCCAGUUCUUCUCCAAAUGAGUCUUUUCUUGUGGCUUGCGUUGGAAACUGGUGGCUGUGAAUCAUCUUAAGGUUUGAGAACUGGUUCUUAUUUAAAAAAUUAUAGAGUUGAAGCGCGUUCGGGUCCAUUAGCCGUUCUUGAACAUCUAUCAUUUAAAUCGGGUGACAAAUGGACUGGGUGAGUUUUCAUUUUAUGCCGAAUUAUUCCUCCGAAGUGAAUACAUGUGGACGUUUUCUGCAGAACAGAUUGAAAUAUGACUCUCAUCUAGAAAAUUGUAAUCCCUCCACUGCAACCUUAAUGUCAUCAAUGAUCUCCAUGUAGUGAUGUAUUGAUUGUUGUCUGAGACACGAUUUCCCAUGGAUACGCCCUCAGAACGGAGCCGCACGCAUCCGUCAAAGCUAAUGAUCUCCAGCCGACGCGGCACACUUUCUUCCUUUGUCUUCAUUUGAUAAGCUUUAUCCCGCCAUUGAUUUCAUAAGACCCGAUUUAUACGCUUUAAUUCAUUAGGCCGGCAGGAAAAUCCAUUAUUUUGUCAGUCACUCUUGCUUUGCGUCUCUGUGUCGCCCACUCGUUCUCUCUCUCUCUGGUCUCACUCCAUUUAGGACGUGCUAACCGAUAUGGUUUCAGUGGGAGUCUAGAACAGUCCUCUUCUUCCAGAAAUCUUUAUUGAAGUGGGAUCUCCUCUCUCUCGGCUCCUCACCUCUGAUAUAAGCAAUUUCGGGCUGACAGCGGGCGUGGAGUUUAUUUACAGACGGUAAAGUGGGAAUUUGCACCAUCUGGACUCCUCAACAUACCUGCAUUCAACAUGUCAAUUUGUCCUCUUUCAGACUUCGUCAGAAAACAAGAGAGCUGUUCCUGAGGUCUCCAGAGGGAUUGUGGGUAGUCGCAGCAUAUGGCAGAACGUGUGUUCCCUCCACGAGUGAGACAGCGCUCAGCAUUAUUUCCCUUUGUUAUGGGUCCGAUUGUAAACACACUUCAAUCCAGAUCAGUCCACAAACACGUGUCACAUGUCAGACGGCAGCUGAUCCCGUGGCAGUCUAACAUUUCACGCCGGUCUGUCUCAGAAGUGGAAGCUGAUGUGCUUGUGGAGACACUGGCUCCUCUGAGGAAACGCCAUGUAAAUCUAAUCUCUAAUUGCUGCAAUCUCUCCGUGAAGUCUGCACGGGAGUCGUUUGCCUAUAACGUUAACGACACGGAAGAACGAUAUCGCUGGAAUCAAUUUCAGAACUGAUGAAUGAAAUGCUGAGCAUUGAAAGUGCGCCUAUAAUAAACAGAACAUUAUCGUCCAUUGGCGCGAACGCUAAUAUAGUUUGUUCUUUGUGUGAAUGGGCCUUUCCUGUAGGCUAUAUAGGCAUGCAAAAUAAGAUGGACACUGUUUAAUUAACAGAUAUAAAUGCAAGUGCACAAUCAGCAACUCCCAGGCCCCCUGAGACCCCGUGUCCUUCGGUUUGCUAAAUCAGUUUCAGUCUAUUUCCAGAAUAAAAGCAUUGGCAUUUAAUUCCACAUGACGUUAAAAGAUGAUUCAGGUUUUUAUAGUGUAGUAAUUCCUGUGCUGAUGUGCCGGUGGAGCUGUUGCUGCAGUGAGUGUAAUGACCAUCUGCCUCCUCUGAUAACUGCAGUAAACGCUGACCUGACUCCAGCAAACGUCCUCACACCCUCAUG